UAAUGGUUCGACAAUGGGGCUUUCUCCUCUUUUGCUUGGCAAUUCUCCUUUCUGCUUCCAUGUGAAGAAGGACACAUUUGCUUCCCUUUUUGCCAGAGUUGUAAGUUUCCUGAGGUCUCCCCAGCUAUGCUAAACUAUAUGUGCAUGGCUGUUUUUCUUUCAGCACAGACAUCACCUCCUAAGAAAGGCAUUCCGUGCCAGACUGAGAGACAUGAGAAAUACCUCAAAGUGAUACGAAGUUGAUAGACCCCUGCCACACAAAUACAACACUGAAGAUGGAUUUUCAUCAAACGUGGAGGAACAGAAGAUGCCAAGAUGAUACAAUAUGGUAUCUGCCCAUGAAGAGAUUUUAUUCUAUAGAAGAGAAAGUCAUAUCCGGCAUCUCACAUGAUGAGACAACAUGAGAGAGUUUUAAAAUCAAGUUAUUCUACUGUCCUUGUUUUUGUCUCCUCACUUGACUUUGGGCUUCCCUAAGUACUCUUGUUCAAAAGUCUGGA
rnacentral:lncRNA from 1 species